AGGGUUGUAGCUCAGUGGUAGGGCAUCUGCUUCCAUACAGAAGGUCCCAGGUUCAAUCUUUGGCAUCUCCU